GUUACAGCGGGUCCAAUAAAAUUAUACGAAAAAAUCUUUCGAUUGUUAUCUAUUAAUUCGAUGAGUAAUGAUUUUUUGAAUUUAUUACCUACCCAAGUAACACUUGGCUUUUCGACAUCUAUAAGAUAGCAGUUUUGAGGCUGAUUUUUGACCUGUCGAUAAGACACCAAAAUGUUGACAAACCGAUCAGAAAUUAUCAUCGAAAUAUCUGCUUAAAUAACUUUACACAAGUCACGACAAGAAGAUCAACAUCUGUACGUCUUAUUUAUUUAAAAAAACUUGGUUUCCAGACAAAAAGAAGUUUGUCUUGUCCUGUUAAUAGACAUCCAGGAUAGAGGUACCGUUUUUGGACAUUUGAAAAAUUUUAAUAAAAUAAUUUGUCAAAGACGCAAGAACAAUUAAUUUUUUAAAUAUUUUUAAAAAUACUUUAAUCCCAGUAAUAAAAUAGAAAUUUUAUUUAACACUUUUUCAUUAAUUAAAGUAAAGUAUUAAAUGUUACAAAAUGGAACCUCUAUCCUAUAUGACAUCUUAAAGUUGCCACUGUUCUACUUGGGUACCUUUUACCUGACACUGAUAACAAGUAUGAUAACUAACAUAUACAUAAAUUUAUAUGCUCUGGUACUUGCACUGCAAAAUGGAUUGUAAAUAAAAUCUGUAUUUUAUUAAUUAAUUAUAAAUUAUAAACAUAUUUAUAUAUCUAUA